AUGGCUUCAUCAUUCGGGAUCAAUCUUUCUCCCUACUCCAAGCUUAUUCUGGAACAACAAUACAUCAUCAUCAACAAACUUCAGCAACAACAAGAACGAAGCCGAUACAGAACGCACGCAGAGUUCGCAAAAGCAAGAUCAAAAGAAGAUAAAAGAGGAACAAACAAGAAGCGGAUUAAUGGAAAGGAUUUGAGAAUAAUAGAAUACUUACCAAAAGAAUUUGUGAUCUUUAUCUCUGAAUUUCCGUUCGUAUUUCUCGUUUCAAAAAGCCAUCGGAGCAUCUCCGAUCAAGAAAUUGGCUAA